rnacentral:rRNA from 1 species
AGUGAACGCUGGCGGUAGGCCUAACACAUGCAAGUCGAACGGCAGCACAGUAAGAGCUUGCUCUUACGGGUGGCGAGUGGCGGACGGGUGAGGAAUACAUCGGAAUCUACUUUUUCGUGGGGGAUAACGUAGGGAAACUUACGCUAAUACCGCAUACGACCUACGGGUGAAAGCAGGGGAUCUUCGGACCUUGCGCGAUUGAAUGAGCCGAUGUCGGAUUAGCUAGUUGGCGGGGUAAAGGCCCACCAAGGCGACGAUCCGUAGCUGGUCUGAGGGGAUGAUCAGCAACAGGAGAGAUAGGGAACGGGCCAAACCUCUGGGGGAGGCAGGAGUGGGGAAUAUGGGGCAAGGGGCGGAAGCCGAAACCAGCCAAACGGGGUGGGGGAAGAAGGGCUGCGGGUUGUAAAGCCGUUUUUUUGGGAAAAAAAAGAAGCAGGUUAAAACCCCGCUUUUCUGAGGUAACCAAAAAAAAAAGCCCCGGCAAAUUUGUG